rnacentral:rRNA from 1 species
UCUAGAGUAGCACUCGCAUAUCAAUAAGCGGAGGAAAAGAAACUAACAAGGAUUCCCCUAGUAACGGCGAGUGAAGCGGGAAGAGCUCAAAUUUGAAAUCUUAAAGGGUUUCCCUUUACGAAUUGUAGUUUAAAGAAGUGUUUUCUGUUGAGGUUUUGGUAAAAGUUCUUUGGAAUAGGACAUCAUAGAGGGUGAGAAUCCCGUAUUUGACCUUUACUUUCAACUUUGUGAUACACUUUCAAAGAGUCGGAUUGUUUGGGAAUGCAGUCCAAAAUGGGUGGUAAAUUUCAUCUAAAGCUAAAUAUUGGCGAGAGACCGAUAGCGAACAAGUACCGUGAGGGAAAGAUGAAAAGAACUUUGAAAAGAGAGUUAAACAGUACGUGAAAUUGUCAAAAGGGAAGCGUUUGACACCAGUGUUGUUUUUCUGAAAAUCAAUUAAAGAACUGUUUAUGCUAAGUUGUUUAGACUUUAUCAGCUAACUGUUUAGUUUUGAGCUUUUCUUUAAUGCACUUUUCAGUUAACAAGUCAACAUCAAUUUCUUUUGCCUGUAAAAAAGCUUGAGGAAGGUGGCUUGAGAUUCGUCUUAAGUGUUUAUAGCCUCUUGCCUAUGCAGUCGGAGAGAUUGAGGUCUGCAGCGUAGAUCCUUCGGGGCUAAAUGCAUUUGUGCUAAGUUAUAGCAUUUUAUAGACAACUUGUUGACUAUGAUUUGUCUUGUAGCUUACUCGCUUAUGUUAUUUUACCUACGCUUAGGAUGUUGAGCGCAUGUCUCUCUCU